GCACAGUACUAAAUGCUGUUACCGAAAUGGAGGCGCUCCUACCUGGGAUGGUUCCAGUCUAUGAAAAUCACAGUAAUGUUGUGACAAGCGUCAUGGUGGUCACUUGCACUACGAUCGUGGCUAGGGCUGUGGUGUCCUCUUUGUCAGCCAAGUAUUAGUGCGCCACCCGGUUCUUCGACGAGAGACGGUGCUGUUCAUGAUGAGUUCACUUCCUAUCUGUGGGGACUUAGUACAAGUGCAUGUAAAAUGCAAUAGAAGUGUGGUUAUGAAUUUCACUAUUUUAUGAGUGUUUGGUUCAACAGUUCUGUUAUUUGGGACACAAAUCUGACCGGCAACAACCUCACCCAUAAAAAUGAAAAAGAACCAGUUCCAGAUGGACGCCAUGGAAGUUCACUGGUUAGUUAAAUCACCUCUUGGGACAGUUCCUUUCUUCCUCUGUAUGUAUCUGAUAUAGAGAUAGAGGUUGAUCCUUGUACGGAAGAAAGGUAGUUCACAUUGUUUACCACUGUGAGUUCACUUGAUAUUUUCUUGGAGUUCAUUUUUUGACUGACGCUUUAGUUCAAAAGCGAAACAGAGAAGAUACAUUUCUUUGAAGUUCACCUUUGUGUCUAUGAAAAGUUCGGUUUUAAACUACUAGAAUGUUCCCCUUUUUUGAAUAAAUAAAUGAUCUUUUGUUUGGAAGA